GGACUUCUGAGCCCCGCGGGCUGCGUGGACUUUAUAACCGCUGCCCGCGGCGACGCUGAUUGGCUCCCCAGGAUGUCGCCACCCAAUGGGGGAGAGGAGCUCCUGCGCGUCAUCAGUGUCCGGGCAGAAGGACCUGACACAGAAGUCGACCCUGGAGUCUUCCAGAAGAAAAGCCUCUUCCGGGCAUACAGUGGCAACAACAAGCAGUUGGGGACACAGAGAGAAGCUGUCCUUAAGCAGAGGCGCUGGGCUGCGAGCCCCUCACGGACCCCACAGUGACCAGGCUCUGUCCACCUGCAGACCAAGCAGCUCCGGAACCUGCUAAAAAUGACGGAGACUCAGCAGCUACCCGGACAAGCUCCCGGCUUCCUCUGUGGUAAUCUCGAUGUCCUUGGGAGCAGAGGGCCCAGGGCAUCGUCAGUCUUCUCUGCCAGGCUCAGAGUGUCCAACAGACUUUCCUGUGGAGUAGGACUUGGGGGACCAGCCUGCUCUGUCUCAGCAAAGCAGGACAGUCAACUCCCCAGUGUCCUGCUUGUCCACAGUUUGGACAGGGUCCUGGCGACGGGCAAGGGAAAGGGGAGUAUUUCAUCCAGUGGCUGGCUGUGCCACAUUCCCAGCAAGCUCCAAGUGGAGUUCUUCCACGACCAUCAUCAGCUGUGGUGACCUUGGGGUCACUGCUAGAACCUGGGGGUCUUUGUAAUCGUAAGCCUUUUCCAUUAAACAUUUUAAAUGCCAUAGUCAACGGAUCUGGAAAGGUUUUGAGGACCUUUAUCUGGUAAGUGUAUUUAAACUAAACAAGCUUUGCUUGUUUCUAGUUACUUGUUUUAGAAAAUAUACAGGAGGCUAAAUAAGCUGAUUUCUGUAAUUAAUUACAUCAGGACUUAGCGUGACAGCAGGGAGAGCUCUGCACACAUGAAAGCAUUUGACCAUUUAUAUGGUGCCUAUUAACCAGCAUGUCUUAUUUGUCUUCAACAGUUUACAAUAAGUCAGUAGCUUUCAUAAGAUUAGGGUUUUAUAGCUUUAUCCAUGUUAAGUUUUAGCUUUAAAAAUCUGAGUUAAAGAUCAUUUAGCAUCAAAAGAAAUAAUGCAGUAAACUUUAUUCCAUAGGAAACUGGUAUCUUGAGCUGGGUGUGGUAGCACACACCUGUAGUUCCAGCGCUCUGGGAGGCAGAGGCAGGAGGAUCACUGGUCUAGGCAGUGAGUCCAGGACAGCCAAGGCUACACAGAGGAACCCUGUCUCCAAAAAAAAAAAAAAAAGAAAAAGAAACUUUUAAAAA